UAGGGAAUCUUCCACAAUGGACGCAAGUCUGAUGGAGCAACGCCGCGUGAGUGAAGAAGGUUUUCGGAUCGUAAAGCUCUGUUGUUGGUGAAGAAGGAUAGAGGUAGUAACUGGCCUUUAUUUGACGGUAAUCAACCAGAAAGUCACGGCUAACUACGUGCAAGCAGCCGCGGUAAUACGUAGGUGGCAAGCGUUGUCCGGAUUUAUUGGGCGUAAAGCGAGCGCAGGCGGAAGAAUAAGUCUGAUGUUAAAGCCCUCGGCUUAACCGAGGAACUGCAUCGGAAACUGUUUUUCUUGAGUGCAGAAGAGGAGAGUGGAAUUCCAUGUGUAGCGGUGGAAUGCGUAGAUAUAUGGAAGAACACCAGUGGCGAAGUCGACUCUCUGGUCUGCAACUGACGCUGAGGCUCGAAAGCAUGGGUAGCGAACAGG
rnacentral:rRNA from 1 species